UAUUUAUUAAGACCUACAGACUGUACUCUCUCACAGACCUGAAACGCUGAGAAAAGGACUGCUAAUUGUUACCUACUAUAUGGACAAGAAACUAAGAAAAGAGUUUGCCUGUCAAGGAAAGGGACAAGAUGAGGAUGCUGGCAUACGGAGAAGUUAAGUAACUUGUCCAAGAUCUCACAGCUAGGAAGUGGAGGAUUCAGGAUUCAAACCCAGGAUCAGAGCUGACCUUAUAACCUCCACACUCUAGAUGAAGGAUGCUGGCUUCAGUUCCUGAGACCACCUCCAGCCCUCCUGUCAGCAUGCUGGGCUUCUCAUGGACAUGACAAGAGUAGAGACC